AUCUCACCCCAAACGACACAAACCCCACGAGGCCACGCUCUAGGGUUGCGGCCACCAUCGGGGGUAGAACCAGCGGCGAGCGAGCGGCGUCGGGCUCCCAUUACUCUCCAUGUCGAACCUCUUCGCGUCAUUCGGUACCUAUUCCCUCUAUGGCCCGGGCGGUGCCGAAGCUGGAGCGCACGCUAUGCCCGCACGCGGCCAACAUGGCUUGACGCGAUGGUGGCAGGGUGGUGUCCAGUGAUCUGGUUCUCUCGAUCCCCUCCGCGUUGGCGUGCUGCGGUGGGCUCGCCUCAGCGCCGAGGACCUCUGUUGCAUCAACCGGCUGACGGUCGGCUACAACCACGGCCUGCUCGGCGACUGUGCCAACGUGCUGCCCCGACAGUUCCUCUUCGUCGAUCUUAACUUAUUUUUCUUAGAAUUAGGCCCUCUAGGUUUUUUAUGCUCCAUUUGAUCUUGCUUGCUCUUUCCAUGGCACCAUUCCAAUGUUCCUUCCUGAACUUUCUGAGUUCCAAGGAUGUGGUAGAUUAGAUUUCACAUUUGGGCAUACGCACGUAUUCUCAGUUCUUCUUUACGUUUAGAGAUGUGGUUACAACUCCCGCUUCCACUCUCUGGUCAAGACAACAUUAGCUGGUUAACUUCAACUUAUAUUCCUUUAGCGUAUCCUGGCCUGCAACUUCGUAAACAGAGUAGAUCAGAGUGGAAACCUGGUCAUCUUUUUUAUGCCUUUGGGCCGCUUUUGCUCAAUGGCGUUACUACUAGAAACGUAGUUUAUCUUACUAGAUUUGCUUUUUUUUAUGUGAUGGGAGGAUCUAUGCACUCUGCAAUCUGCAUCGGCUCAUCUCCUUCCCCAUCCAUGCCAGAUCCUGCUUUUGUUUGUUUGAUCGUGCAUGCUUGAUUUCUGGAUUUCUUCAGGAUGCCGAUGCGUGUAAACCGUUGGGCGUUCGUUACUUGGUUUCAUCGGCCCCAUCUGAGGCCGACUAUUAGAUUCACAGAUCAGCCGACAACAUACUGAGAAGAAGAGCCUGGGACAUUUGUAAGUGAGUUGAAAUUCAAUAAUGAUUCUCUUUGUUUUUACCACGAAAUAGGACUGAAAAUGCACAGUAUGAUUUCUUACUGAACACAGAUUAAUCCUUCCAGAAGCAUGUCUAAUGCGAGCUGUAUCGAAAUGUAUGGAUAGCAUAUAUACUGACUUUUCUUCUAAUGCCUGUACUCUUUCUCUCCAUGAAGUAUUUAUUUCAGGUCAUGCUCCCUUCAACACUACUUGGUUAUGGAGCUGGUGAAAACUGGACAAUGAUGAAGACCACAAGUGUUACCCAAUAUGCAAAUUAUGAAGCAGUAUUUUUAAGGAAGGGCUUCUAGCAUGGUCGUAAGUCUUGCAGGUGUAAGGCUACAACCUUGGUUCUAACAAGAAGGGUAUGUCACUGAGUUUGCAAUUGACCCUCCGCCGACAGUGGAGCAAUUGAGUUUUUUAAAAUAUUUUCCAGUAAAGAAAAUAUAUUGUGAUUUCACACUUCUUUUAUGUCUGUGCAUUUGAGAGUUAAUUUUAAGCUUGUUCUAUUA